rnacentral:rRNA from 1 species
GAUGAACGCUGGCGGCGUGCCUAAUACAUGCAAGUCGAGCGAAGCGGGGACGGGUGAGGAACACGUGGAUAACCGCCUAUAAGAAUGGGCUAAAUUAGGGAAACCGGAGCUAAACCGGAAACUUAUAGAUGGAUGCGCGCGGCAUUAGCUAGUUGUUAAGGUAACGGCUUACCAAGGCAAAGAUGCAUAGCCGGCCUGAGAGGGGGAGCGGCCACACUGGACCUGAGACACGGUCCAUACUCCUACGGGAGGCAGCAGUAGGGAAUCUUCCGCAAUGGGCGAAAGCCUGACGGAGCAACGCCGCGUGAGUGAUGAAGGUCUUCGGAUCGUAAAACUCUGUUAUUAGGGAAGCGGUACCUAAUCAGAAAGCCACGGCUAACUACGUGCCAGCAGCCGCGGUAAUUC